ensembl:ncRNA asRNA:CR45214 antisense RNA:CR45214
GCUAACUAGCUAGACCAACUUAUAAGUAAAAAAAAUAAAACUUCACAUAUCGUCUAACAACCCCUGCUGAUCCAGAAACGGCAGACAAUCCCCACUGAUCAAGAUACGGAAGUGUUUGCUGAAGCUUUAGCCUGACGGACUCCUGCUGGAACACAUCGUCUUUGAAUCUCAUACCACCUUUGCUCUCCGAAAUGAUGUGGUCCAGGGAAACCUUUUCUUUUCCAUCAUACACCAUAAAGGGUUCAAAAAUUAGAGAAGCGAACACAGCUUGCAUCCCUCAGUUUGUAGAAGUAGAACUGGACCAGCUCUGGUUGAUUGUUUAGGCGGAGCUUGUCAUGGAUGGAAGUGGAGAAGAAGUGAAGUGAAGAUCGAGGGCUGAUCUCCGUGAUUGAGAAUCACAAAAUCGCCAUAUAGCCUGAAGCUCAUCUCGCUCCGACUAAGUUAAAUACCCUAGAUAGAAAAUUAAUAACAUAAAAUUAACAUGAUCUAGAAGUCCCAGCCAGCAUACUCCUUAACCACAUCCUUGUUCUCCUUGCGAUGACGAUGCACAGCACUAGCCUCUCCCUUGGCCACACACUUCUUUCGCUGCUCCCGCUUCUCCUUAAUGUCCAUGUUGCGUCGUAUCCGGUCGGUAAUCACAGACGGAGCUAUUGUGCUGGUUGUGGUAGAAUAGGAGCGUUGACUUCUCGCAUCAUUUAGCAUUUGCUCGACCAUUUUGAGACGAUACAUGCGGGAGUUAGGAUCCAGGCCAACUAGCUCGGGAACUUCAUCCGUAUCUAAAUCAUUGGAACUGAUGGACUUGACGUCUUCUUCAACGGUAUUAGUUGCCGAAGUUUCAGCUUCGAAUGGAAUAACGUCUGGAGUUUCAGCCGGCAGGGAAAUGUCCAACUUUUUGGGCAUUGUUUGAUCGGGAACUUCUGGACCUACGCUGAGAUUACCCAGAUAUUGCGUACACGAUUCAAUGUACCGACGCACUGCGUCAUCCGACUUCUGAGUGGGCUUGGCUUCGCUAUAAAUGACUUCGUUCUCCACCUGGCGUCGGCACUCGUCAAUCUCUACAGAUGCUGCGGUAACCAAGGUGGGAGGCUCUUCCUCCUCUUCCAAAUCCUCUCCCUCAUCCUCCUCAUCUGCCUGAUCCACCAUGCCGUACUCCUCAAGAAGAUCCUGCUCCAUCUCCUUAGUGAAGCCAUAGCCUGUGCAAUGUACCUCGGCAUCCAAAUCAUCCUCACGCACCAGGUCGCUGAACUUGGGGUAGUCUUCGCUUUCGUAACCAAAUUUGCGACGGAACAUUUCACGCACGCAGUUAACAUCGCGUUCGAAGAAACUAAAAUAUAUUUUUCUAUUAAUACUUGAAUACUAU